rnacentral:rRNA from 1 species
CGCCCUUCNUACGGGAGGCAGCAGUGGGGAAUCUUGCGCAAUGGGCGAAAGCCUGACGCAGCCAUGCCGCGUGAAUGAUGAAGGUCUUAGGAUUGUAAAAUUCUUCACCGGGGACGAUAAUGACGUNCC